rnacentral:rRNA from 1 species
GAUGAACGCUGGCGGCGUGCCUAAUACAUGCGAGUCGAGCGAACAGACGGGGAGCUUGCUCCUCUGACGUUAGCGGCGGACGGGUGAGUAACACGUGGAUAACCUACCUAUAAGACUGGGAUAACUUCGGGAAACCGGAGCUAAUACCGGAUAAUAUAUUGAACCGCAUGGUUCAAUAGUGAAAGACGGUUUUGCUGUCACUUAUAGAUGGAUCCGCGCCGCAUUAGCUAGUUGGUAAGGUAACGGCUUACCAAGGCGACGAUGCGUAGCCGACCUGAGAGGGUGAUCGGCCACACUGGAACUGAGACACGGUCCAGACUCCUACGGGAGGCAGCAGUAGGGAAUCUUCCGCAAUGGGCGAAAGCCUGACGGAGCAACGCCGCGUGAGUGAUGAAGGUCUUCGGAUCGUAAAACUCUGUUAUUAGGGAAGAACAAAUGUGUAAGUAACUAUGCACGUCUUGACGGUACCUAAUCAGAAAGCCACGGCUAACUACGUG